rnacentral:rRNA from 1 species
UACAGAGGGGGCAAGCGUUAUUCGGAAUUAUUGGGCGUAAAGGGCGCGUAGGCGGCGAUUCAAGUGACGGGUGAAAUCCCUCGGCUUAACCGAGGAACUGCCUGUCAGACUGGAUUGCUUGAGGCCGGGAGAGGCGAGUGGAAUUCCCAGUGUAGCGGUGAAAUGCGUAGAUAUUGGGAGGAACACCGGUGGCGAAGGCGGCUAUCUGGACCGGUACUGACGCUGAUACGCGAAAGCCAGGGGAGCAAACGGG